rnacentral:rRNA from 1 species
UACGUAGGGCGCAAGCGUUGUCCGGAAUUAUUGGGCGUAAAGAGCUCGUAGGCGGUCUGUCGCGUCGGAUGUGAAAGCCCGGGGCUUAACCCCGGGUCUGCAUUCGAUACGGGCAGACUAGAGUGUGGUAGGGGAGAUCGGAAUUCCCGGUGUAGCGGUGAAAUGCGCAGAUAUCGGGAGGAACACCGGUGGCGAAGGCGGUUCUCUGGGCCUGUACUGACGCUGAGGAGCGAAAGCGUGGGGAGCGAACAGG